UGGGAUAGCUCAGCCCUGUAGAGCACAAGACUCUUAAUAACAAGGUUGUGGGUUCGAGCCCCACAUGGGGCAAAA